rnacentral:rRNA from 1 species
AUGCAGCUGCCGCCGCCGAACCAGGGAGACGCCGGCGACCGUCGCCGCCGUCGUGGAUCACCAGGACGCCGCCGGGCGAGGGGCGUCGAUGAGAUGCCCCCGGCGCUUCCCUCCGGGCGGGAGGAGGAGAGGGGCGUCGGCGACGAGGCGAGUGUCGGCGGUGAGAUGGUCUCUGACGGGCGUGAUGAGGCGGGCAGCUUUGGCGUGAAGCGUGCGUUCGUGGAGGUAUUCGCCAGGGCGCUCUUCUAUCCGACGGUGAUGCUCAACUAUGGCCGUAGCUUGAUCGAUCCCGAGUUCCACUGGUGGGAUCGCAUCGACAAGGAUAUUUGGAUAGGGGAAGUUCCUCACCAACCAAUGUCAUAA